GCCCAGACUCCUACGGGAGGCAGCAGUGAGGAAUAUUGGUCAAUGGGCUAAGGCCUGAACCAGCCAAGUCGCGUGAGGGAAGACGGUCCUAUGGAUUGUAAACCUCUUUUGUCGGGGAGCAACGAGGCCACGUGUGGCCGAAGUGAGAGUACCCGAAGAAAAAGCAUCGGCUAACUCCGUGCCAGCAGCCGCGGUAAUACGGAGGAUGCGAGCGUUAUCCGGAUUUAUUGGGUUUAAAGGGUGCGUAGGCGGAUUUUUAAGUCAGCGGUAAAAUGUCCGGGCUCAACCCGGGCCGGCCGUUGAAACUGGGGAUCUUGAGUGGGCGAGAAGUAUGCGGAAUGCGUGGUGUAGCGGUGAAAUGCAUAGAUAUCACGCAGAACUCCGAUUGCGAAGGCAGCAUACCGGCGCCCGACUGACGCUGAGGCACGAAAGCGUGGGGAUCGAACAGGAUUAGAUACCCUCGUACU
rnacentral:rRNA from 1 species